GGACAGUAGCUCAGUGAGAAGAACAUCUGCCUUGCAUGCAGAAGGUCCCAGGUUUAAUUCCCAGCAUCUCCA